UGGUGAUCAUCUACCCAUGAUAAGGUGAUGAGUUCUGAACUCAAUCGAUGUGAUCUAAAGGUUAGAUCUGAUUCAGAGCAUCGAUGUAAUUGAUGCAGUUUUUAUUUUAUGUCAGAUUUUAUAUGUAUAAAAUUUUUAUGUCAUAGAUCUUUAAUGGUAGUUUAGAUUUGAUCCAAGGUAUAUGUAGAAGAUUUAUAUAUUUAAUUUUAUAAUUUUCGCUAUAAAAUUUUAAAAAU
rnacentral:lncRNA from 1 species